rnacentral:rRNA from 1 species
AUUGAACGCUGGCGGCAUGCCUUACACAUGCAAGUCGAACGGUAACAGGUCUUCGGAUGCUGACGAGUGGCGCACGGGUGAGUAAUACAUCGGAACGUGCCUAGUAGUGGGGGAUAACUACUCGAAAGAGUGGCUAAUACCGCAUGAGAUCUACGGAUGAAAGCAGGGGAUCGCAAGACCUUGUGCUACUAGAGCGGCCGAUGGCAGAUUAGGUAGUUGGUGGGAUAAAAGCUUACCAAGCCGACGAUCUGUAGCUGGUCUGAGAGGACGAUCAGACACACUGGGACUGAGACACGGCCCAGGCUCCUACGGGAGGCAGCAGUGGGGAAUUUUGGACAAUGGGCGCAAGCCUGAUCCAGCAAUGCCGCGUGCAGGAUGAAGGCCUUCGGGUUGUAAACUGCUUUUGUACGGAACGAAAAGCCCUGGGUUAAUACCCUGGGGUCAUGACGGUACCGUAAGAAUAAGCACCGGCUAACUACGUGCCAGCCGCCGCGGUAAUAC